rnacentral:rRNA from 1 species
AUUGAACGCUGGCGGCAGGCCUAACACAUGCAAGUCGAACGAGUGGCGGACGGGUGAGUAAUGUCUGGGAAACUGCCUGAUGGAGGGGGAUAACUACUGGAAACGGUAGCUAAUACCGCAUACCAUCGGAUGUGCCCAGAUGGGAUUAGCUAGUAGGUGGGGUAAAGGCUCACCUAGGAGACGAUCCCUAGCUGGUCUGCGAGGAUGACCAGCCACCAUGGAACUGACACACGGGCCAGACUCCUACGGGAGGCAGCAGUGGUGAAUAUUGCACAAUGGGCGCAAGCCUGAUGCAGCCAUGACGCGUGGAUGAAGAAGUCCUUCGGGUUGUAAAGUACUUUCAGCGGGGAGGCGUGACCCGCAGAAGAAGCACCGGCUAACUCCGUGCCAGCAGCCGCGGUAAUAC